rfam:Myotis brandtii contig240614, whole genome shotgun sequence.
AGAGGCCCUCUGUGGCCGGGGUGGAAUGCUUGCCUCGUCGCUUUGGCAACAAAGCAAGCAUUCCGCCAGGCCGCCCACACUGCCUGC